AAGAAUCCUGCGGGCUUCACGCCUGUCUUCAUUGCCUCACGGCCUAUUCUACGUCAUCACCUUUCCUUCUCAUCUUUCGCUUCUCACGCGUGGGUCUGAGAAACUCUAUAAAUCUGCCGACUAAGAAGUAAGGCAGACAGUUUUCCUGAGUUGCCGAGCUUCAAGGCAAUCCGUCAGGAGGUACGGCUCUCGGUGGUAAGGCAGAGCUUGUCUCAAGCAAAUUCCCGAUCUCCAACAUGGGGGAUUACGGGAGGGACGAGAUCCAGAGAAGGGNNNNN
rnacentral:lncRNA from 1 species